GGGCGUGUAGUUCACCGGUAUAAACUUUUAAGAAAAGUUUAAUCAAAACGGUAAAGAAUAUUCCCUUGGCGUGAAUUAAUCGUUAAGGAGGGGCAGAGGGUUCAAUUCCCUCCACGUCCA
rnacentral:tRNA from 1 species